GUUUGAAAUAGCUUGUUAAGACCUGAAAUGAAUUAAUUGAUUUGAUUUUUUUUGACAGUGCACCCAGAGAAAAGUCUCAGAAAGCUAUCCAGGAUGAAAUCCGUUCAGUGAUCAGACAGAUCACAGCUACAGUGACAUUUCUGCCACUGUUGGAAGUUUCUUGUUCAUUUGAUCUGCUGAUUUAUACAGACAAAGAUUUGGUUGUACCUGAAAAAUGGGAAGAGUCGGGACCACAGUUUAUUACCAAUUCUGAGGAAGUCCGCCUUCGUUCAUUUACUACUACAAUCCACAAAGUAAAUAGCAUGGUGGCCUACAAAAUUCCUGUCAAUGACUGAGGAUGACAUGAGGAAAAUAAUGUAAUUGUAAUUUUGAAAUGUGGUUUUCCUGAAAUCAAGUCAUCUAUAGUUGAUAUGUUUUAUUUCAUUGGUUAAUUUUUACAUGGAGAAAACCAAAACGAUACUUACUGAACUGUGUGUAAUUGUUCCUUUUAUUUUUUGGUACCUAUUUGACUUACCAUGGAGUUAACAUCAUGAAUUUAUUGCACAUUGUUCAAAAGGAACCAGGAGGUUUUUUUGUCAACAUUGUGAUGUAUAUUCCUUUGAAGAUAGUAACUGUAGAUGGAAA
rnacentral:sRNA from 1 species